rnacentral:lncRNA from 1 species
UCGGCUUGUUUCUAAAUGUCUCAAGGCUGUCUCUCAAGAAUUAAACUUGAUCGGACUGUUUUCUUUCAGACUUACGUCUGAAAUAAAGUUAGAUUUUACCUCUGUAUCAAAUAAUGUCACACUCUGCGAUUUUAUUUACUAACACUGGUAUUGAAGAAAUAAAAAGAAAUAUACUAACAGACCUAAUUUUACCUGCUUCGUUUACUUUAUUUAAAAAUAAACUUAACUAGAAAUAUGAAUCAACUAGUAUUCGAAUUUGAAACCUCGAUCAUCAAGCCUUUUGCCACAUGAUCUAGGGAUGGUUGGUUUGGUUGAGGACUGAAAGUUAAUCCCCAAAAAUUUAU